rnacentral:RNase_P_RNA from 1 species
ACUGAUGAUCGCGGUUGCAAUAUCCGAAAGGAUGCAAGUGAGGAAAGUCCGGGCUUCAUAGGGCAGGAUGCCAGAUAACGUCUGGUGGAGGCGACUCUAAGGAAAGUGCAACAGAGAAAAUACCGCUUACCUAAGGUAAGUAAGGGUGAAAUGGCGAGGUAAGAGCUCACCGCCUGUAUGGUAACAUGCAGGGUCAGUGUAAACCCCAUUCGAAGCAAGACCGAACAGAAAUUAUGGCGGCCCGUCAAUAUUUCGGGUAGGUCGCUUGAUUCUAUUAGCGAUAAUAGAACUAGAUAGAUGAUCAUCUAAUACAUAACCCGGCUUAUGUUCU